GCUUUUAUUGUGUAAUGGGAAGACGCUAGGUUUUCGACUUAGAAAUAGGAGUUCGAUUCUCCUUGAAAGUA
rnacentral:tRNA from 1 species